rnacentral:sRNA from 1 species
GGCUGAAUAGGAAUAGCUCUGCUCUAUAGCUCCCAGUGAGAUCGAUGCAGAAAAGGGGUGAUUUCUGCAUUUCCAACUGAGUAUGGAUUUAUCAACACCUGUCUGCAAUCUCUUGUGACAGAGAAAUUUGGCGAAGAAAUAUGGGAAAAAUUGAAAAGCAAGUGCUCAGGGAAAUCAAGACAGGAGAACUGUUGCCAUCAUGAGCUAUGCCGACAGUCAGCAGCUGAUCCCCGACAGAGACGCAGCAGACGCAGACGCUCCUGAUGAAAUCAUCCCUGUGGGGAGUGCAGGGCCAGAUGGGGACUCCAUGGAGACAGCCGACCGGCGACAGCCUUCAGUUCCGACAAAGACACAUCACCUUGCAAAUGACACUGUG